AUUUGAUGAUGGGGGCAGCUUGUACAUAACCUCCUGAAUCUCUCCCAAUAUUCGUAUAAACAUUCUGCAUGUAGUUUUCUGAUUCCAGAAAUAUCUUUUCUGAUU
rfam:Lupinus angustifolius cultivar Tanjil chromosome LG17, whole genome shotgun sequence.